rnacentral:rRNA from 1 species
CAGCCGCCGCGGUAAUACGUAGGUGGCAAGCGUUGUCCGGAAUUAUUGGGCGUAAAGGGCUCGCAGGCGGUUUCUUAAGUCUGAUGUGAAAGCCCCCGGCUCAACCGGGGAGGGUCAUUGGAAACUGGGAAACUUGAGUGCAGAAGAGGAGAGUGGAAUUCCACGUGUAGCGGUGAAAUGCGUAGAGAUGUGGAGGAACACCAGUGGCGAAGGCGACCCUCUGGUCUGUAACUGACGCUGAGGAGCGAAAGCGUGGGGAGCGAACAGGAUUAGAGACCCCUGUAGUCCCUGUCUCUUAUAC